GGAGCCACGGCGCGUUCCCCGUCCCCGCAGGCGCGCGCGCGCGCGAUCGGGAGGGACCAAAUGCGCGCUCUCACCACUUCUACUCUUCACCCUACGCGUCCUUCUUUUCUGCCAGCGCCGAGAGGCGCCUUCAGGAGGGGUGGAGCCUAGCCCGAAGCCACUUCGAGACGGAGGAGAGUAUUGAACUGUCCUAAGCGGUUAGCACACCCCCGAACCAGGAAUUUUGGUUAAACUGAUGAGGAAUCUUCAGUCGUAGUACAUCAGAGCUUGAAGCAGACUGGUUGAUGCCAGAUUGUUACCACCAGAAUCUUAAUCAUGACGGAUGCGGACUAUGUCCUAUGCAAAUGGGAAGGCCGUUUAUGGCCAGCAAAGGUUUUAUCCAAAACGGGAAUUUCCAGAAGAGAAGAUACCCAGAACGCGGAGCCAGACUCUGUAGAUGUCGAAAUACUUUCACUAGAUAAAAAAAUUAGCGUGCAGUGCAGAGAAAUCCAGAUCCUAGAGAAGACACACAUUGACGAUAUUGUCACUAAAUUCGCAUCCCAGACUGAGAGGAAUGUUAAGCCUGAGGAAAUAACUUACAGAAAGUCACUUAACGUUGCCCUGGAUAUUUUGAAUGUGAAAUCCAAUACUAGAGCAGCAACCUCUUCAGAUGAAGAAAUGACAACGCCUGUCUUGCAGAAAGAAAACCAAACAGGGCCUUUGUUUUCUGUCUCUAACUGUUCCCCUGAUUUCCACGAAGGGAUCUUGGAAAGGCCUGGAUCCUUUUUGAAAGAAAAUGAACAGUUCAGUCCAACUUCCACCAAGGAAACUGGAUGUGAAAUUGGUUGGAGGAAGCCUGAUAAAACCCACAAAAACAAAACCCGUCUCUCGACGUCUCCAACUACCGUCAUUUUGGGCAUUCAGACCCCUCAGGAUGAGGAUUGCCAAAGCUCAAGUUCCAGCCGAAAGAAAGCUAAUUUCUUUCAAAACGCCACGGUGGACAGAAGGAGGACAAGGAGCACCAGAGUUGAUUCACCUCCUGAUGCCACGAGGGGUGGAGACUGGUGCCCCACUGAAGAAAGCUCACCCGCUUGGACCGCCAUUAAACUCUCCAAGUCAUCAGCUUCAGGAAAAAGGGCAAAUUGUUCCACCAAAAAAUCCUUGAAUUUUUCUACAGACAGUGCCCCUAAAUGGUCAGAGAAUGAGGACAUUACAAAGUCCUCAAGGAAAUACAGCAAGGCUUCAGAUGGAAGUAAAAAGCCAGUGGAUCAGAAACAAGAUCUAAAUACAGACAGGACCCAGUAUCAAAGUAGACAACACACGAGAAGCCCCAGAUCUUUUCCCAGUACCUCUGACGGUGACUGGUCUCCAGACUGCUCACUGACUAAAAUCAAAGAUCUUCAGCUCCCAGAUUUUGAGGAGGAUGAAGAAGGAUUUCAAUCCUCCGACCUAUCAUUGGAGCUUAGCUCCCUAGAAACCUCAUCUCUGAACACUAACUUUGUAGAUGAAGAAGAGGAAGAUGAAGAACUUCCGACUAUCCUUUUGUACCAAAAGCCUUGUUCGAUAGAAGCAGGAAUGUUAGUCUGGUGUAAAUGUCAAAAAUACCCAUAUUGGCCAGCAGUGGUCAAAAGUGUAUGGCGGAAAGAUAAAGCAAGUGUGCUUUUUGUUGAAAAGGAUUUGUGUUCUGAAAAGAAAGGUUUUACAGCACCCCUUAAAAGAUUAAAGCAUUUUGAUUGUGAAGAGAAACAGGAACUAAUGAUUAAGGCCAAGGAGAAGUUCAGCCAGGAUAUCGAUUGGUGCAUCUCUCUGAUUUCUGAUUACAGAAUCAGACUAGGCUGUGGUUCUUUUGCGGGGUCCUUCUUAGAAUAUUGCUCAGCUGAUAUGAGCAAUCCAGUUAGAAAAGGAAUCAAACAAGGUGCCUUCACCAUGACUUUUCCCAGCUCAAAGAAAGACUGUCCUGAAGAGCCCUUGCUAGAGACCCCCCUUAGCAAGGUGAAGCCCUCCAAGAAAGUGCUUCCCGAUCGGACGAGGGCUGCCAGAGACAGGGCCAAUGAGAAGUUGGUGGAGUAUAUAGUGAAAAACAAGGGGGCAGAAGACCAUCUUUUGGCCAUUCUAAAACACAAAAAGCAGUCAAGGUGGCUGAACGAGUAUUUAAAUUCAAGUCAGUACAUAGCCUGUAUUGAAACCUACCUUGAAGAUGAUGAACAGCUGAACCUGGUGGUGAACUAUUUACAAGACGUCUGCCAAGAAAUAGGCAGUAAACUGACUUUAAUAAAUGGUGAUAGAAUAAAACUUAUUCUGGAUGUUCUUUUGCCUGAAGCAAUCAUUUAUGCAAUUUCUGCUGUUGAUGAGAUAGACUACAAGACAGCUGAAGAAAAGUACAUCAAAGGGCCAUCUGUAAGCAAGCGGGAGAGGGAAAUAUUUGAUAAGCAGCUUUUAGACCAAAAGAAUCUGGCACUGUCGAAGAUUGAACCGACUUCUUCCGAGCCCGCUCCAGAUCCUUCUCCAGAUGUGUCCCAUCUUUGCCAUUCUGUAACUGAAUCAAAUAUAUACAAUAAGUAAGAAAGCGGCUCUGUGAAAAAAUCUGUAAAAUUGUCUUUUUGUCAUUUGUAAAUGCUUAAGGGGAUGUGGAAGAUGUCAAAAUGCUUCUGCUUUAUAGUGUUUGAUGUAUUCUAGGCUGUAGCUUUACAGUCUGCUCAUUGAUGUUGCAUAUUGAUUUCCUUUGAUUAAUUCUGAACUCCUUGGAUCAAUUGGACAAAGCUGGAGUGUUCAUUUUUAUAACUUACUGCCAAUUCUCUUCCCUGUCCCUUUCAAGAAACUUUACAAUUCCUUAGAUAGAUCUAAAUGGAGAACUAAGAAAUUAUUUUGUAACUUUCUGGUGACUAUUGUAACAGGUAAUUGAGUAGAGAUUUCACUCACAAUCUGGAAAGAUAAGCCACUGAUAUCACAUUUAGCCUUGAUUGCAAAGAGCCUGGUACGAUACAGUAAUUCCAUAAGAAUUAAACCUGUAGGGUUUCAUUGACAGUCACUGUAUCAGGUUUCCUCUCAAAGUACUUUCUGAUGUUCUCCACGCUCUUGCUUUUUUUCCUGAAAUACCUCCAAGAGGUGAAAGCAAAGCCAAAGAUGCUGCUUUUUUUUUUUAAUGCUGGCAGGAAUAACUACAAUUGUUUGUGCAAAAGAAGAAGCCUUGCUAUCAUGUAACUCUUUAGGAUGGCCACCUCCAAAUAAGCCAUAGUAUGAAUUGAUCUAAAAUUUCACAAGUCUUUUUUUUUUCCUCCCCCCUAGUUGAGCAGGUUCUCGCCACUCCGUUAACUCUCCUGUCAGAUGUGAAAGGCCUGUUUCUGCCCUUGGUUAACCAUUUCACUGGCUCCUCACACACUUUUAUGGUUGGAAAUAACAGUCCAUUUAAGUGCUGGUGUUUUCUUGAUAGGCGUGUGUCUGGGACAAUAUUGAAAACAGUCUGGCCUGGGCUGGUUACAGAAUAAAGCACAGCAGAUGCUGAUGGACAGUGGAAUGGCCAAAGAGAAAUAAAAGUGGCCCUGACAGCUAACCCUAAAACGCCUCACUCUAGGUGGUCUUCAAGGGAAAUGAACUGGGCACCAUCUAGCGGUUAAUCCGGAGGUGGAGGUGGGGAGUGAGGACAUUUUUAAUGGACAUUUGGCAGUCUGACACAACUGGAAAUUUGGGGUGAUGGUGCAGGGGGAUGGGUGAGACCUCCUAUUUCUCCUCACAGCCAGUGUAGAGGGGAAGAUUUUAAGCAUGUGAAUGUAAUUCAAGGUGAAUGCCGGACUACACUUGGUCACUAAGCUUAUGCUUCGUAAGGAGGAGAGUACAAUUUGCAUAAACCUGAGUCACCGUAAAAUAAUUACAAGGCAAUUAUAAGCUGUAAUAAGCCUGAAACAUUUUCAGAGUACACUUUGCUGUGAGCUAAGUACAAGGGGAAAUAUUUAAUUUGUUUUAGCGAAGGAGCCUCUGCAAAAUUGAUGAAAUUCAUGUUUGUAAAUACUGUUUACUCCCUUCCUGGUGAUGUUGAGCAUCAAACUUAAUUCUAAAAGUAGGGAAUCCAAGUUUUAAACCACAGGGACCUUUUUCCCCUGAUUACCUUUCUUUUCCUCUGCCUUCCUUGUCCAUUUAAUUUAGACUAAUUCAGUUUUCAGUGUUCUUCAGUGUUUAUGGCUCUGCUAAAGCAAUGCCUGUUGUAGCUGGAGAUUUGGAUAUGUAUAUAGACAUUGUAUUUUACAGCUUGAGAAGAGGUUAAGGGUUCAGUAUCACACUCCCUCUACAUUUAAAGGCAUUUUGUAAUUAUAUAGUGUAGCUUUCCCCUAGUAUCCUAGUUUUACCUUUUUUUUUUUUCUCCAGGUAGUUGUAUGCAUCUUCUUUCGGUUUGUAUCUUAUAAGAAUGUGAAAAUGAAAUGGAAUUUGACAUCUGGUUGCUGAGUAUUUUGCUAAUCAAAUCAGCUCCUGUUGUCAAACUAUUGCUAUUUUAGUCUGAUUUUUUUUGUUCUAAUCCUGCCACAGUGUAUCUGUGAACAAAUAUUUAAAGUAGGAUAUCUUUAUUCAGAAGCCAGAGGCAGGGAGAAAAUAAAGAGGACCUGAAUUAGGAUAAUUGUUUCAAGAUAUUUUUGUUUUAUGGUUCCUGGGGUUUCUAAGUGUGAAAGUUGAGUUGUGGUUCUUCAAACAUGGAAUUGAAUUAAUAGCAGUGGCUUUUCCUAAGCCUUUUUUGAUUUGUAACUGACCAAGGCAUGCAUUUGUGAUUGACUUCUCAGACGAAAAAAAAUCUGGGCAAUAAAUAAAAGACUUUUACUAAAAGCACAAAA